AGCCGGCUGACUAGUCCCAAACGGGACGAAACGCGCGUCCUGCAU
rnacentral:hammerhead_ribozyme from 1 species